rnacentral:rRNA from 1 species
CCAGCUCCAAUAGCGUAUAUUAAAGUUGUUGCAGUUAAAAAGCUCGUAGUUGAAUUUCUGGCCAGCGCUGCUCUCGGCUCUCUGAGUCGGUUCAGUGUUUGGUCAUCCGUAUGGGAAGCUAGCUCGGCCUUCACUGGUCGGCUAGUGGAUCAUACACUUUACUUUGAAAAAAUUAGAGUGUUUCAGGCAGGCAAUUGCUUGGAUACUUCAGCAUGGAAUAAUGGAAUAGGACUUUGACCUAUUUGUUGGUUUCUUCGAGGUCAAGGUAAUGAUUAAUAGGGACAGUUGGGGGCAUUCAUAUUUAAUUGUCAGAGGUGAAAUUCUUGGAUUUAUUAAAGAUGAACUUAUGCGAAAGCAUUUGCCAAGGAUGUUUUCA